AAGGCAGUUCCUGUAUACCUAACUCCACCUAACCUCACUAUCAUUGAAUUUAUCUAACCUCCUCUUGAAGGUAUCUUUGGUAUUGGCACACAACAUGACUGCAUCCACCACUCUGUUGGUGAACAAAUUCUUGCCUAUGUCUUUGUUGAAUCUGAAUUUAUACGAUUUAAACCCAUUUCUACUCAUACCACCAAAAUCUUAUUUAUAUCACCGUUAUUAAAGCCCUUCAUCCUUUAUAAACUAAGUUCGUCUCCUUGCACUCUUCACUUUUCUCAAAAAGACAAAUUAUAAGAUUAAGCCUAUCUUCGUAUCCUUUCUAUAUUCUGGUGACCAGAACUGUACCGCAUAAUCGAGUUGAGAUCUAACUAAUGUCAAAUAUAGAUGGAUAUGAAGGAACUGAACCUUUUCCUGAACGUGGCUAUCAUAUUCACACACAAUAUGGUUUUUUUUUCGUUUGUUCAUCAAUUAUUCGUAAACCAGUUCUUGCCAACGUCCGUAUUAAGCUUGGAUUUAUGAGAGAGAGAGAGAGAGAGAGAGAGAGAGAGAGAGAGAGAGAGAGAGAGAGAGAGAGAGAGAGUCAUCCGGCGAACUUAAAUACUUAUGGUAAAUUAAAUAAUAAAAACAAUAUAAAGUUUACGUGGUUAUAUUUAGGGUGAAUUUUAAGUGGGUAAAUAAACUUAAAAAUGUAUGGAUCCAAGAGGAAGAGGUCCGUUUAUCUUCCGUUUAUUUACGUGGGUAAGAGGAAAAAGAGGAGGCGGCAUAACACAUGGGGUGAGGUGGAAGAGGAAGAGGAGGAGGAGCAGGAGCAGGUUCAUGCAGACAAUCUCUUCGUGGGAUUUCCCGGUGCUAUCUCCUCCUCCUCCUCCUCCUCCUCUUCCUAAGUAUUAAAUGCCUCGUCGCGGCUUCUUCCUCCUCCUCCUCCACCCAUACCUCUUCUUCCUCCUCCUCCUUACUCCACUUCCCAGAAUGUAUUUAUUCAUGUAUUAAUUUAUGAAGGUAAGAGGAAAAAGAGGAGGCGGCAUAACACAUGGGGUGAGGUGGAAGAGGAAGAGGAGGAGGAGCAGGAGCAGGUUCAUGCAGACAGACUAUCUCUUCGUGGGAUUUCCCGGUGCUCCUCCUCCUCCUCUUCCUCUUCCUUUUCCUAAGUAUUAACCUGGUAGCGGCGGGGAUCAUGUUUCUUAAUGGUCCCUCUAAGCGAGAAAAAUUAGAAAAAAUCAUCACUCACAAACUAUUUCAUAAUAUAUAUAAAAGUAUUUGUGAUCAGUUUAUGUAUCAUCUAUUUAAGGGGGUUAAAAUCAUGGCUCAAGUUUGGCCCGUCGCUGCUACACUGUAAAGCCACAAAUUUGGCCCAUCGCUGCUACCGGGUUAAAUGCCUCGUCGCGGCUUCUUCCUCCUCUUCCUUGCUCCACUUCUCAGAAUAUAUUGGUUAGCUUAGUAUCCUCUUUCCCUCUUCAUCUUCCCUCCUCCUCCUCCUCCAUCUACCCUUUGCUGUCUUGGUGAAGGAAGGGAAGAGAGGAGAGGAAGAUUAAAAGGGACGCGAGAAGAGAGAGAGAGCUUGGGAAGAAAGAAAGAAGGAUGGGAAAGAAUGUAGAUGAGAAAGGGAAGAGAGGAAAAGGAAACAAAUGAAAAACUAAAGAAAGGGAAGGAGAGGAAGGAAGGUCAUCGGUGAGGAAGCACUUGGAAAGAAGAAAAGAAAGAAUGAAGGAAGGGAGGUAGAGAAAAAAAGUAGGAAGGAUUGACGAAUGGAAAACUAAAGAGAAACAAUUGAAAGCAGGGAGAAGACAACACGGAAGUAAGGAAGGAUUGAAGGAAAAUUAACGGAGCGGGGAGAGAAGGAUUGAGGAAAUAACCGAGGAAGUCUUUUCGGUGUGAGGUGACUUCAAGGACAUGGUGUUUACAUUGUGUGUUGAUCGGGGAAAGUGUGUUGCUGUAGGUAUGAUGUUGCUGAGGAGUCGUAUGGGGAAUGGAAAGAAUAUCAUGUGUUGUGAGUGGGAGAAAACUGUAUUGCAUUAGGUGGGUCAGCUGGGAAGGUUUUGUUGAGGGUUUUCUUGUGGUUGAGUUGCGGAAAAGGUACUGUUGUGAGUGGGAAGAACAUUGUGUUGUGAGUGGGAAAAAAACUGUAUUGCAUUAGGUGUGUUAGGUUGUGGCUGUCUGGUCAGUGUCUAGAGGGGAAGAGUGUCACGUGGGCUAAAAACGUUUGUGCUUGUCAAGAGGGGAAGAGUGUCACGUGGGCUGAAAACGUUUGUGCUGUCUUGUAAACGUUGAUCCUGCCUCAUUAACGUUCCUCGCUCACGCCGACUCGUUGGGGUAAUGGUGGAUUAGCCUUGUUAUAUAGUUAGGGAUGUUAGUUCUUCUUUAUUGUUCUUGUUGUUGUGUUUUCAUGUCAUACAGCUGUUCUCUUUUUUCAGUCUUUCUUCUACGUCCUUUGCCUCCUUUCAUAUUUUUGUUUUCCCCGUUUUUCAUAGUUUUUUUUUUUAUAUUCUCUCCAUCUUUAGUUUUA